AUGCAGCUGGAAUUUCAGGUGUGUCACCCUGGAGCUGAGGCCUCCAGAUGGACUCGUAGAAGGGAGAUGUGUAAGGCUCCAUCCCUCAGCAGCCCACGAUCUCUGAAGGUUUGCCACUGUGGCCAAUGUUUUAUGGAAGCUUCUGAGGCCGUAGAGCAGAGGGAAGUUCUGAGCACACGGAGGACAAGCCAGGGUGGUGCUGUGUGGCCGCAAACAACCCUAAGUAGGGGAUACGUGUGGGGGACAGGCUCUAACACCUUGAUUCCUUAUGUCUGUGUCUCUGCAGUAUGUUUCAUGGAGAGUCUGAGUGACAGCAACCAUGAUGAAAGUGAUACAGACUCCUCUGGGACACCUUGAAGCCUCAGCCUGGGACUGGAAGAGUCCAAAAGUUUCCAUCUUGACCAGGAUACAAGAUUGACCUCACUCUUCAUCUAUUACGAGCCAACUUUAGUAUAAGCUUAGUUCUUUAUUGUCUAGAUUUAGUAUUAAGUUCUGAUACAUGUUUACUACUUGGUAUAUAAGAUUUUGGUAGAAUGUAAGAUUGUGUAUUAAAUAAUUGUUACCUAUCCAUUUGCUUUUUUUAAAACUAGUUUUCGAUAAAAUAAACACAGGUAUAGGAAAGCCCCUUAAGCA
rnacentral:lncRNA from 1 species